rnacentral:rRNA from 1 species
CCGACCGGCGCACGGGUGAGUAACGCGUAUGCAACUUACCUAUCAGAGGGGGAUAACCCGGCGAAAGUCGGACUAAUACCGCAUGAAGCAGGGGCCCCGCAUGGGGAUAUUUGCUAAAGAUUCAUCGCUGAUAGAUAGGCAUGCGUUCCAUUAGGCAGUUGGCGGGGUAACGGCCCACCAAACCGACGAUGGACAGGGGUUCUGAGAGGAAGGUCCCCCACAUUGGUACUGAGACACGGACCAA